AGUGAACGCUGGCGGUAGGCCUAACACAUGCAAGUCGAACGGCAGCACAGUAAGAGCCUGCUCUUACGGGUGGCGAGUGGCGGACGGGUGAGGAAUACAUCGGAAUCUACUUUUUCGUGGGGGAUAACGUAGGGAAACUUACGCUAAUACCGCAUACGACCUACGGGUGAAAGCAGGGGAUCUUCGGACCUUGCGCGAUUGAAUGAGCCGAUGUCGGAUUAGCUAGUUGGCGGGGUAAAGGCCCACCAAGGCGACGAUCCGUAGCUGGUCCGAGAGGAUGAUCAGCCACACUGGAACUGAGACACGGUCCAGACUCCUACGGGAGGCAGCAGUGGGGAAUAUUGGACAAUGGGCGCAAGCCUGAUCCAGCCAUACCGCGUGGGUGAAGAAGGCCUUCGGGUUGUAAAGCCCUUUUGUUGGGAAAGAAAAGCAGCAGGUUAAUACCCCGCUGUUCUGACGGUACCCAAAGAAUAAGCACCGGCUAACUUCGUG
rnacentral:rRNA from 1 species